GCCUCCGUAGCUCAGGUGGAUAGAGCGACUGCCUCCUAAGCAGAAGGCCACUGGUUCGAGUCCAGUCGGGGGCA
rnacentral:tRNA from 1 species